GCCAACGUCCAUACCACGUUGAAAACACCGGUUCUCGUCCGAUCACCUAAGUCAAGCAACGUCGGGCGCGGUCAGUACUUGGAUGGGUGACCGCCUGGGAACACCGCGUGAUGUUGGCU
rnacentral:rRNA from 1 species